rnacentral:rRNA from 1 species
CCUACGGGAGGCUGCAGUAGGGAAUAUUGCUCAAUGGGGGAAACCCUGAAGCAGCAACGCCGCGUGGAGGAUGAAGGUUUUAGGAUUGUAAACUCCUUUUGUUAGAGAAGAUUAUGACGGUAUCCAACGAAUAAGCACCGGCUAACUCCGUGCCAGCAGCCGCGGUAACACGGAGGGUGCAAGCGUUACUCGGAAUCACUGGGCGUAAAGGGGGCGUAGGCGGGGUAAUAGGUCAGAUGUGAAUUCCUGUAGCUUAACUACAGAACUGCAUUUGAAACUGUUACUCUGGAGUGUGGGAGAGGUAGGUGGAAUGCGUGGUGUAGGGGUAAAAUGCAUAGAGAUCGAGAAGAAUACUCAUUGCGAAGGCGACCUGCUGGAACAUUACUGACGCUGAUGCACGAAAGCGUGGGGAGCGAACAGGAUUAGAUACCCCGGUAGUC